rnacentral:rRNA from 1 species
UACGGAGGGGGCGAGCGUUGUCCGAAGUUACUGGGCGUAAAGCGCGUGUAGGCGGGUUGCCAAGUCCGCUGUGAAAGCCCGAGGCUCAACCUCGGAGGGUCGGUGGAUACUGGCAGUCUUGAAGUUGCUAGGGGGAGAUGGAAUUCCAGGUGUAGCGGUGAAAUGCGUAGAGAUCCGGAGGAACACCAGCGGCGAAGGCGGCGUCCUGGACUGGUACUGACGCUCAGGAGCGAAAGCGUGGGGAGCGAUCCGG